UAAGUAGGUGGUAAGCGUUGUCCGGAUUUAUUGGGUUUAAAGGGUGCGUAGGCGGCCCCGUAAGUCAGUGGUGAAAUAUCUCAGCUUAACUGAGAGGGUGCCAUUGAUACUGCAGGGCUUGAGUACAGAUGAGGUAGGCGGAAUUGACGGUGUAGCGGUGAAAUGCAUAGAUAUCGUCAAGAACACCGAUAGCGAAGGCAGCUUACUAAGCUGUAACUGACGCUGAGGCACGAAAGUGUGGGGAUCAAACAGG
rnacentral:rRNA from 1 species